rnacentral:rRNA from 1 species
GCUGACGAGCGGCGGACGGGUGAGUAAUGCAUAGGAAUCUGCCCGAUAGUGGGGGAUAACCUGGGGAAACCCAGGCUAAUACCGCAUACGUCCUACGGGAGAAAGGGGGCUCCGGCUCCCGCUAUGGGAUGAGCCUAUGUCGGAUUAGCUAGUUGGUGAGGUAACGGCUCACCAAGGCCACGAUCCGUAGCUGGUCUGAGAGGAUGAUCAGCCACAUCGGGACUGAGACACGGCCCGAACUCCUACGGGAGGCAGCAGUGGGGAAUAUUGGACAAUGGGGGCAACCCUGAUCCAGCCAUGCCGCGUGUGUGAAGAAGGCCCUCGGGUUGUAAAGCACUUUCAGCGAGGAAGAACGCCUGGCGGUUAAUACCCGCUAGGAAAGACAUCACUCGCAGAAGAAGCACCGGCUAACUCCGUGCCAGCAGCCGCGGUAAUACGGAGGGUGCAAGCGUUAAUCGGAAUUACUGGGCGUAAGCGCGCGUAGGUGGCUUGAUAAGCCGGUUGUGAAAGCCCCGGGCUCAACCUGGGAACGGCAUCCGGAACUGUCAAGCUAGAGUGCAGGAGAGGAAGGUAGAAUUCCCGGUGUAGCGGUGAAAUGCGUAGAGAUCGGGAGGAAUACCAGUGGCGAAAGCGGCCUUCUGGACUGACACUGACACUGAGGUGCGAAAGCGUGGGUAGCAAACAGGAUUAGAUACCCUGG